UGCAGAUUAAUUUAGGAGAGAGAAAAUGGGAGGAGACGGUGGUCAUGUCGAUGGAGGAGACUUUAGGUCUAAGGUGUGGAGUUUUUCAGGUGGGCCCAAUUGCCGUCCCAAGCAUUGGCGUCGUAAUACCGUCUUCGCUCUCGCCGGCAUUUUUCUCGUUUGUGUUCCCAUUGCCAUGAAAUCUGCUCAGCUUGAGCAACGACCUCAUCAGCCUGUUCCGCUCCAUUCCAUCACAGAUGUGGUGCAAGAACUUUGGGAACAAAGAUUAUUAGAGCUGCUUCAAUAUGUCAAUUCUGUACCGCAAAGUGUUUUAAUUCUUAAAUCAUGGACAAGUUUCUCUAUAAUUAUUUUGCUCUUCAGCUGAGUAGCUCUGUAUGCUCACCUUUGAGGUAAUCUCAAUAAAAUUGAAAUUGAGUGGAUAAGCAUUGUUUUGUAGUUUUACAUGAGAUGGAAACUCCUUUCUCUAUUCUGCCAGUUUUUAACAAUGUUUGGAAUGAUUCUCGAGCUGUAUAAUUGAAGUUUCAUAUUAUCUCUAUCAAUUUAGUUCA